rnacentral:rRNA from 1 species
GUGUCAGCAGCCGCGGUAAAACGUAGGACGCGAGCGUUAUCCGGAGUUACUGGGCGUAAAGCGCGGGCAGGCGGCCCUGCAAGUCUGAGGUGAAAGCGCCCGGCUCAACCGGGCGAGGCCCUUGGAGACUACAGGGCUGGAGGGCAGUAGAGGUAGGCGGAAUUCCGGGUGGAGUGGUGAAAUGCGUAGAGAUCCGGAGGAACACCAGAGGCGAAGGCGGCCUACUGGGCUGCACCUGACGCUGAGCCGCGAAAGCCAGGGGAGCGAACGGGAUUAGAAACCCCUGUAGUCC